UACGUAGGGACCAAGCGUUGUUCGGAUUUACUGGGCGUAAAGGCGCGCGCAGGCGGCAGUGCAAGUAAGGUGUGGAAAUCUCCCUGCUCAACGGGGAGGGUGCACUUUAGACUGCAACAGCUCGAGGGUCGGUAGAGGGGGGUGGAAUUGCUGGUGUAGCGGUGGAAAUGCGUAGAGAUCAGGAAGAACACCAAUGGCGAAAGCAGCUCUCUGGGACGGUACUGACGCUGAGACGCGAAAGCGUGGGGAGCGAACAGG
rnacentral:rRNA from 1 species